rnacentral:rRNA from 1 species
CCCUUAGAUGUUCUGGGCCGCACGCGCGCUACACUGACGAAUGCAACGAGCUUUUAACCUUGGCCGAAAGGUCUGGGUAAUCUCCAAAUUUCGUCGUGAUGGGGAUAGAUUAUUGCAAUUAUUAAUCUUCAACGAGGAAUGCCUAGUAAGCGCAAGUCAUCAGCUUGCGUUGAUUACGUCCCUGCCCUUUGUACACACCGCCCGUCGCUCCUACCGAUUGAAUGGUCCGGUGAAGCGUUCGGACCGUGGCCUUUGGACGGUUCGCCGUCUGUUGGCUGCGGGAAGUUCGUUAAACCUUAUCAUUUAGAGGAAGGAGAAGUCGUAACA